CAGCGUUGUUUCUCAAGAUUAAUGCAGAUUGGGACUAGUUUAUCACAUUAAGUGCUGCUGAUUAUCCACUCAUGACUCAGGAUGGUAUUGAUUAUAUUCUUUAGGUUGUGGAUCGAAUUGGCAAGGAGCAUUGCAAAGUUAAUUUGCAAGAGGGAGAUUUUCCUUUGGUCACAACAAUCAUCUCAAGUCAAUUGCUGUAGCAUAUUGGAAGCAUACUGGGUCUCCUUUGAGUUCCCUGCCUUCUUUGGCUCAUAUAAGAAGUCCAAGUAGUGUUGUUCCAUCUCAGAUUGGUCCAAUAUCGAGAAUUGGCACUGACAGCUCGUCUCUUGUUCGAGAUGGAAGGGUCUGCACUAGCAGCCCUCUUGCUACUUCUAGAUUGGCCCGAUCCUUUGGCAUCGACUCCUUUUGGAUUGGCCCGAUCAUCUUCAUGGCUUGAUAUGAAUGGAGGAGUCUGCAAUGAAGACACGGAGUGUGUUGGUUUUGCUAGAAUUGGAAGUGAAGAUCAGAGCAUUGUGGCUGGUACAAUGAAGCAAUUUCAAUUGCAUGUUUUUUUCCU